UACGUAGGGUCCGAGCGUUGUCCGGAAUUAUUGGGCGUAAAGGGCUCGUAGGCGGUUCGUCACGUCGGGAGUGAAAACUCGGGGCUUAACCCCGAGCCUGCUUCCGAUACGGGCAGACUAGAGGUAGGCAGGGGAGAGCGGAACUCCUGGUGUAGCGGUGGAAUGCGCAGAUAUCAGGAAGAACACCGAUGGCGAAGGCGAGUCUCUGGACGACUCCUGACACUGAGGCACGAAAGCCAGGGGAGCAAACAGG
rnacentral:rRNA from 1 species